rnacentral:lncRNA from 1 species
UCCAGCCCCAAGAAUAGUAUUGGAUUUCUCCCCUACAGAUGAAUCUCUUUAAUAACUGAAAUAGUGCAAAAAACAAGGAGGACUUAACACAAACGAAAAAUAUUUAUGAUAAUACAAGAAACAUUAUCCAUCACUUUGGGUUCAUUGUCAUCUAAUUCACUUGGGACCUUUUAAGAAAAUCUGCUAAUUCACUCUUGUACCCACUUGCUAUUUUUGUCCCUUCCAAAACUCAAAUUGAAAUCUGAUUGUCAUUGGGGCAGUGAUUAGGGCAUGUGUUUUUUGUCUCUGACAAAAAAAAUAUCUAGCAUAAAAUAAUUAUAGGAGCAAAGGUGUUUUUGUUGUUGUUUUGGUUUGGUUUUUUGUUUUUCCUCCCAGUUUCAGAGGUUUCAGUCCGUGGUCAGCUGGCUUCAUUGCUUUGGGCCUGUGGUAAGGCAGAACAUCAUGGUGGAAGCCAUGGGAAAGGAGAGCUAAGCAGCUCAUGUCAGCCAGGAAGCAGAGAACAAGAGAGAGAGGAAGGAGUGGGAACAUGAAAUACUCAUCCAGGUCUCGCCCCUUCUUCCUCCAACUAGGUCCACCUCCUACAGUUUUUACCCACCUCCCAAUAACACGUCUAAAUUAUUAAUCCAUCAAAUGGGUGAAUGCAUUGAUGAUGUCAGAGCCCUCCUGGUCCCAUCAUUUCCUAAGAGCCCCACUCUGAACAUUGUUGCACU